CGGGGGGAGCAAGCGUUGUUCGGAUUUACUGGGCGUAAAGGGCGCGUAGGCGGCCUCUGCAAGUCGACUGUGAAAUCUCCGGGCUUAACCCGGAAAGGUCAGCCGAUACUGCAGGGCUAGAGUGCAGAAGGGGCAACUGGAAUUCUCGGUGUAGCGGUGAAAUGCGUAGAUAUCGAGAGGAACACCUGCGGCGAAGGCGGGUUGCUGGGCUGACACUGACGCUGAUGCGCGAAAGCUAGGGGAGCGAACGGGAUUAGAUACCCCGGUAGUCCUAGCCUUAAACGAUGAAUGCUUGGUGUCUGGGGUUUUAUAGUCCCCGGGUGCCGUCGCUAACGCUUUAAGCAUUCCGCCUGGGGAGUACGGUCGCAAGACUG
rnacentral:rRNA from 1 species